AAGCAUAUCAAUAAGCGGAGGAAAAGAAACCAACAGGGAUUGCCCUAGUAACGGCGAGUGAAGCGGCAACAGCUCAAAUUUGAAAUCUGGCCCUAGCGGUCCGAGUUGUAAUUUGUAGAGGAUGCUUUUGGUGAGGUGCCUUCCGAGUUCCCUGGAACGGGACGCCGGAGAGGGUGAGAGCCCCGUACGGUUGGACGCCAAACCUCUGUAUAGCUCCUUCGACGAGUCGAGUAGUUUGGGAAUGCUGCUCUAAAUGGGAGGUAAAUUUCUUCUAAAGCUAAAUACCGGCCAGAGACCGAUAGCGCACAAGUAGAGUGAUCGAAAGAUGAAAAGCACUUUGAAAAGAGGGUUAAAUAGCACGUGAAAUUGUUGAAAGGGAAGCGUUUGCGACCAGACUUUUUCCAGGCGGAUCAUCCGGCGUUCUCGCCGGUGCACUCCGCCUGGUUGAGGCCAGCAUCGGUUUCCUUAGGGGGAUAAAGGCCUGGGGAACGUAGCUCCUUCGGGAGUGUUAUAGCCCCUGGCGUAAUACCCCUCGGGGGACCGAGGAACGCGCUCUGCAAGGAUGCUGGCGUAAUGGUCGUCAACGACCCGUCUUGAAACACGGACCAAGGAGUCGAACAUUUGUGCGAGUGUUUGGGUGUCAAACCCUCACGCGUAAUGAAAGUGAACGGAGGUGAGAGCCCUUACGGGUGCAUCAUCGACCGAUCCUGAUGUCUUCGGAUGGAUUUGAGUAAGAGCAUAACUGUUCGGACCCGAAAGAUGGUGAACUAUGCGUGGAUAGGGUGAAGCCAGAGGAAACUCUGGUGGAGGCUCGCAGCGGUUCUGACGUGCAAAUCGAUCGUCAAAUCUGCGCAUGGGGGCGAAAGACUUAUCGAACCAUCUAGUAGCUGGUUACCGCCG
rnacentral:rRNA from 1 species